rnacentral:rRNA from 1 species
UACGGAGGAUGCGAGCGUUAUCCGGGAUUCAUUGGGUUUAAAGGGUGCGUAGGCGGAAGAUUAAGUCGGUGGUGAAAUUUUGCAGCUCAACUGUAAAAGUGCCAUUGAUACUGGUUUUCUUGAGUAUGGAUGAAGUAGGCGGAAUUUGUGGUGUAGCGGUGAAAUGCAUAGAUAUCACGAGGAACUCCGAUUGCGCAGGCAGCUUACUAAACCAUAACUGACGCUCAGGCACGAAAGCGUGGGGAGCAAACAGGAUUAGA